rnacentral:rRNA from 1 species
UACGUAGGGUGCAAGCGUUAAUCGGAAUUACUGGGCGUAAAGCGUGCGCAGGCGGUUAUGUAAGACAGAUGUGAAAUGCCCGGCUUAACCUGGGAACUGCAUUUGUGACUGCAUGGCUAGAGUUUGGCAGAGGGGGGUAGAAUUCCACGUGUAGCAGUGAAAUGCGUAGAUAUGUGGAGGAACACCGAUGGCGAAGGCAGCCCCUGGGUCAAGACUGACGCUCAUGCACGAAAGCGUGGGGAGCAAACAGG